rnacentral:rRNA from 1 species
GCCCCAGGUCAAGCGGGACUACCCGCUGAAUUUAAGCAUAUCAAUAAGCGGAGGAGAAGAAACUUACAAGGAUUCCCAUAGUAACGGCGAGCGAACCGGGAACAGCCCAGCUUGAGAAUCAGACGGCUUCACUGUCCGAAUUGUAGUCUGUAGAAGCAUCCUCAGCGACGGACCGGGCCCAAGUCCCCUGGAAAGUGGCGUCUGAGAGGGUGAGAGCCCCGUCGUGCUCGGACCCUGUCGCACCACGAGGCUUUGUCGGCGAGUCGGGUUGUUUGGGAAUGCAGCCCAAAGCGGGCGGUAAAUUCCUUCCAAGGCUAAAUACCGGCGAGAGACCGAUAGCGAACAAGUACCGCGAGGGAAAGAUGAAAAUGACUUUGAAAAGAGAGUCAAAGAGUGCUUGAAAUUGUCGGGAGGGAAGCAGAUGGGGGCCGGCGAUGUGCCCCGGUCGGAUGCGGAACGAUGAUGAGCCGGUCCGCCGAUCGACUCGGGGUGCGGACCGACGCGGAUUGAGGCGGCGUCCCAAGCCCGGGUUGUAGUCAUUCCCGCGGAGACGUCGUUGCCUCGAUCGUGGUGGGCAGCACGCGCCUCACGGCGUGCCUCCGGUAACAGCGUGCUCCCGGCGUCGGCCUGUGGGUUCCCCAUUCGUCCCGUCUUGAAACACGGACCAAGGAGUCUGACAUGUGUGUGAGUCCACGGGAGAGUAAAACCCGUAUGGCACAAGGAAGUUGACUUGCGGGAUCCCCUUGUGGGUUUCACCGCCGAUCGACCUAGAUCUUCUAUGAAGGGUUCGAGUGAGAGCAUACCUGUCGGGACCCGAAAGAUGGUAAACUAUGCCUGAGCGGGGCGAAGCCAGAAGAAACUCUGGUGGAGGCUCGCAGAGAUACUGACGUGAAAAUCGUUCGUCUGACUUGGGUAUAGGGGCGAAAGACUAAUCGAACCGUCUAGUAGCUGGUUCCCUCCGAAGUUUCCCUCAGAAUAGAUGGAGCCCGCGGGCGAGUUCUAUCGGGUAAAUCCAAUGAUUAGAGGCAUCGGGGGAGCAACUCCCUCGACCUAUUCUCAAACUUUAAAUAGGUAGGACGGCACGGCUUCUCCAUUGAGACGCGCCACGGAAUCGAGAGAUCCAAGUGGGCCAUUUUUGGUAAGCAGAACUGGCGAUGCGGGAUGAACCGGAAGCCGGGUUACGGUGCCCAACUGCGCGCUAACCUAGAACCCACAAAGGGUGUUGGUCGAUUAAGACAGCAGGACGGUGGUCAUGGAAGUCGAAAUCCGCUAACGAGUGUGUAACAACUCACCUGCCGAAUCAACUAGCCCCGAAAAUGGAUGGCGCUGAAGCGCGCGACCCACACCCGUCCGUCGGGGAAAUCGUUAGGCCCCGAUGAGUAGGAGGGCGCGGCGGUGGCUGCGAAACCUAGGCCAUGAGGUCGGGCGGAGCCUCCGUCUGUGCAGAUCUUGGUGGUAGUAGCAAAUAUUCAAAUGAGAAUUUGAAGGCCGAAGAGGGGAAAGGUUUCAUGUGAACGUCACUUGCACAUGGGUUAGUCGAUCCUAAAAGACGGGGGAAGCCCGUCAGAGAGUGUGCAACAAGCGAACUUCAAAAGGGAAUCAGGUUAAAAUUCCUGAACCGGGACGUGGCGGUUGACGGCAACGUUAGGGAGUCCGGAGACGUCGGCGGGGUCCUCGGAAAGAGUUAUCUUUUCUGUUUAACGGCCUUCCCACCCUGGAAACGGUUCAGCCGGAGGUAGGGUACAGCGGCCGGAAGAGCACCGCACGUCGUGUGGUGUCUGGUGCACCCUCGGCGGCCCUUGAAAAUCCGGAGGACCGAGUGCCAUCCACGCCCGGUCGUACUCAUAACCGCAUCAGGUCUCCAAGGUGAACAGACUCUGGUCGAUGGAACAAUGUAGGCAAGGGAAGUCGGAAAAAUGGAUCCGUAACUUCGGGAAAAGGAUUGGCUCUGAGGGCUGGGUACAAGGUCCUAUUCCCGAAACCGUCGGCUGUCGGCGAACUGCUCGAGAUGCUCGCGCGGCGAGAGCGGGUCGUCGCGUGCCGGCCGGGGGAUGGAUUGGGAACGACUCCUCACGGGGCCUUCUGCGUGCGUCGAACAGUCGACUCAAAACUGGUACGGACAAGGGGAAUCCGACUGUUUAAUUAAAACAAAGCAUUGGGAUGGUUGAUGAGUGCCAAAUAUUGUAUAUAUUUAUCCCUUUUUGUUGGCAUUUAACUCAUCUUUUGUGCACUAACGCUCCAUUUUAUCCCAUAUUCUGUGUUUUCGUUGUUUUCAAGAAUAAUUACUUUUAUUAAUUAAUUUUGCAUUUUUAGGUGCCAAAUAAAGCCUGGUUAACUCACGGAGCAAAAAGAGCAAAGAAACGGCAAAGGCUCCCCGCAGAAAGGCAUCGAAGAAUGAUGUUCGCAAGAGCCGGAUCAACUAGAGGUGGGCUUGAAGAGGAAGAAAUUACUCUUAAGAGAAGAAGUGGGCUAAGAAAAAUUAAGGCCCAAGCUCAAAUUCUAAACCUAAGUCCAAGACCAAGCCCAAAAGCCCGCCUCAGCUCUCAUCCGUCCGAUCUGAUCCAUCAUCUACGCAUCCUACGGUUUCGUAUUCGUUGGACAUCAAACUUGCUGCUCUCGACACAUACUACAGCACCUAACUCCAUCUGGAUCCAUCAGUUUUGUUGUGCUACACAAUCCAACGGUCAGUCAGAGCACGUUCUAUCGUAGUCGUUCGAUUCAGCCCAGUUGUGACGAACCAUCAUCAUCCACUCGCUGCGCAUCAACUUCAGAUGAUUCCGCUCAACACCGUAUCAUCAAAUAUCCCAUCACCUACACCAGUCGAGCCAAACAUUCGUUUUCACCCAAAAACCCUUCUUCCCCCGACAGUUGCAGACCCCUGCAAUUUCUCCUUCUCGAACUCCUGUACCACUUCACCAUCUCGAGCCUCUCCAACCACAC